rnacentral:lncRNA from 1 species
AAAGAUCAUCCUUCUAAGGAGCUGGAACAGACUUCAGUAGAAAUUUUCAUGUGGGCAGGGAUCAUGUGUGCCCAGAAAAAUAGCUGGUGGGACAGGCUGGCUACAGCAGGCUGGAGUUGGGUAUUUCCCUUCUCCCAGAGACUCCAGCGAUUCAUCAAUUCCAGCCCAGUUUUCUUGCCCUGGCACUGGUUCCCAGGGCAAUUUCCCUGUCGUGAGUCUCUGCUCAGAGCCCCCCAGUCCAUAGUUGUAUUUUCUAGUUGUAGGUCCUUCUAGUUGUGCCAUGUGGGACACCACCUCAGCAUGGCUUGAUGAGCGGUGCUAGGUCCAUCACCAGGAUCUGAACGAGUGAAAUCCUGGGCUGCCAAAGCCAAGCACACGAACUGAACCACUCCACCAUGCGGCUGGCCUCUUCAUAUUUACUUAAUUUUAUUUAUUAUAUGAUGUUUCAAGUCUUUGAAUGCCUUUUUUUAAC